rnacentral:rRNA from 1 species
AUUGAACGCUGGCGGCAUGCUUUACACAUGCAAGUCGAACGGUAACAGGCCUUCGGGUGCUGACGAGUGGCGAACGGGUGAGUAAUGCAUCGGAGCGUACCCAGAGGUGGGGGAUAACGCAGCGAAAGCUGUGCUAAUACCGCAUGUGAUCUGAGGAUGAAAGCGGGGGACCGAGCAGCAAUGUUUGGCCUCGCGCCUUUGGAGCGGCCGAUGUCGGAUUAGCUAGUUGGUGGGGUAAAGGCCUACCAAGGCGACGAUCCGUAGCUGGUCUGAGAGGACAACCAGCCACACUGGGACUGAGACACGGCCCAGACUCCUACGGGAGGCAGCAGUGGGGAAUUUUGGACAAUGGGCGCAAGCCUGAUCCAGCAAUGCCGCGUGCGGGAAGAAGGCCUUCGGGUUGUAAACCGCUUUUGGCAGGAACGAAACGGUGUCCGCUAAUACCGGGCGCUAAUGACGGUACCUGCAGAAUAAGCACCGGCUAACUACGUG